UGUGCCACCCCGUUCACCUGCCCAGCUUCUGGAAGGAGCACUACUUCGAGGCCAUUGCCCUGGUGGAGAAGGCCCUGCAGGCUGUGUAUGGCGGCAGCGUCCCCAGCAUGACCUCGGCCGCCCUCCGCUGGAUGUACCACCACUCCCAGCUGCAGGGUGCCCACAGGGACGCGGUCAUCCUGGGCAUGUCCAGCGUGGAGCAGCUGACACAGAACUUGGCGGCAACCGAGGAAGGGCCCCUGGAGCCGGCCGUGGUGCAGGCCUUCGAUCAGGCCUGGCACCUGGUCGCCCACGAAUGUCCCAACUACUUCCGCUAGGGCCAGUCCUGACUCCAGCUGCCAAAGGUUUCUCUCUUUUCCGCCACCUCUUCUGUUCUCUCAUCCUGACCAGGCUGCCUUAAGUUGAUUUAACAUGGUCUUUUUUGAUUGUCUGGCUCAAUGCAAUAUUUUUCUAGAUUCCCUCCUGGCUCCCAGAUGCCUUUGUGGCGUGUAAAGCCUGGGGCUGUGGUCCACUUGGGACGUUCCUGUCGGAAUAAAGCCGGCACUUGACCGGGCUGUCGCCUGGGCCCUCAGUAAA